rnacentral:rRNA from 1 species
GUCCCGCAACGAGCGCAACCCUUGCCUUUAGUUACCAGCACGUUAUGGUGGGCACUCUAAGGAGACUGCCGGUGACAAACCGGAGGAAGGUGGGGAUGACGUCAAGUCAUCAUGGCCCUUACGGCCUGGGCUACACACGUGCUACAAUGGUCGGUACAAAGGGUUGCCAAGCCGCGAGGUGGAGCUAAUCCCAUAAAACCGAUCGUAGUCCGGAUCGCAGUCUGCAACUCGACUGCGUGAAGUCGGAAUCGCUAGUAAUCGUGAAUCAGAAUGUCACGGUGAAUACGUUCCCGGGCCUU